rnacentral:rRNA from 1 species
CCUACGGGCGGCAGCAGUGGGGAAUAUUGGACAAUGGGGGCAACCCUGAUCCAGCCAUGCCGCGUGUGUGAAGAAGGCCCUCGGGUUGUAAAGCACUUUCAGUGAGGAAGAACGCCUGGUGGUUAAUACCCAUCAGGAAAGACAUCACUCACAGAAGAAGCACCGGCUAACUCCGUGCCAGCAGCCGCGGUAAUACGGAGGGUGCGAGCGUUAAUCGGAAUUACUGGGCGUAAAGCGCGCGUAGGUGGCUUGAUAAGCCGGUUGUGAAAGCCCCGGGCUCAACCUGGGAACGGCAUCCGGAACUGUCAAGCUAGAGUGCAGGAGAGGAAGGUAGAAUUCCCGGUGUAGCGGUGAGAUGCGUAGAGAUCGGGAGGAAUACCAGUGGCGAAGGCGGCCUUCUGGACUGACACUGACACUGAGGUGCGAAAGCGUGGGUAGCAAACAGGAUUAGAUACCCCGGUAGUC